rnacentral:misc_RNA from 1 species
GGGACUACUUGGGUAUCUAAUCCUGUUUGCUCCCCACGCUUUCGCACCUGAGCGUCAGUCUUUGUCCAGGGGGCCGCCUUCGCCACCGGUAUUCCUCCAGAUCUCUACGCAUUUCACCGCUACACCUGGAAUUCUACCCCCCUCUACAAGACUCUAGCUUGCCAGUUUCAAAUGCAGUUCCCACGUUAAGCGCGGGGAUUUCACAUCUGACUUAACAAACCGCCUGCGUGCGCUUUACGCCCAGUAAUUCCGAUUAACGCUUGCACCCUCCGUAUUACCGCGGCUGCUGGCACGGAGUUAGCCGGUGCUUCUUCUGCGAGUAACGUCAAUGCAAUGUGCUAUUAACACACUACCCUUCCUCCUCGCUGAAAGUGCUUUACAACCCGAAGGCCUUCUUCAC